ACGGGAGGCAGCAGUAAGGAAUAUUGGUCAAUGGAGGCAACUCUGAACCAGCCAUGCCGCGUGCAGGAAGACUGCCCUAUGGGUUGUAAACUGCUUUUAUCCGGGAAUAAACCACGAUACGUGUAUCGUGCUGAAUGUACCGGAAGAAUAAGGAUCGGCUAACUCCGUGCCAGCAGCCGCGGUAAUACGGAGGAUCCAAGCGUUAUCCGGAUUUAUUGGGUUUAAAGGGUGCGUAGGCGGCCUGUUAAGUCAGGGGUGAAAGACGGUAGCUCAACUAUCGCAGUGCCCUUGAUACUGAUGGGCUUGAAUGGACUAGAGGUAGGCGGAAUGAGACAAGUAGCGGUGAAAUGCAUAGAUAUGUCUCAGAACACCGAUUGCGAAGGCAGCUUACUAUGGUUUAAUUGACGCUGAGGCACGAAAGCGUGGGGAUCAAACAGGAUUAGAUACCCUGGUAGUCCACGCCCUAAACGAUGAACACUCGCUGUUGGCGAUACACAGUCAGCGGCUAAGCGAAAGCGUUAAGUGUUCCACCUGGGGAGUACGGUCGCAAGAUUGAAACUCAAAGGAAUUGACGGGGGCCCGCACAAGCGGAGGAGCAUGUGGUUUAAUUCGAUGAUACGCGAGGAACCUUACCCGGGCUUGAAAGUUAGUGAAUCAUUUAGAGAUAAAUGAGUGAGCAAUCACACGAAACUAGGUGCUGCAUGGCUGUCGUCAGCUCGUGCCGUGAGGUGUUGGGUUAAGUCCCGCAACGAGCGCAACCCCUAUGUUUAGUUGCCAGCACGUCAAGGUGGGGACUCUAAACAGACUGCCUGUGCAAAC
rnacentral:rRNA from 1 species